UGGCUCAGAGAUUAAAGCGUCUGCCUGCAAUGCAGGAGACCUGGGUUCGAUCCCUG
rfam:TPA: Bos taurus chromosome 7, whole genome shotgun sequence.